UAGGGAAAAGGAAUGGGUUUUCAAGAUCUUUGCAGCUUAGACUGAUGGGGUGGGAUGAGAGGGUCCACCGUGAUCGCAUUCCGUUGUAUUAAUUAGUGCUCUUAGUAUCCGCAGAAAACCCAGCAAGGACUCUAACAGGAGGAUGGAUCAGAGGGAGCUGGUUUCUGAUCCAUGCUUGGGCCGGGUGUUACGUGUACUGAACUGGAGGAACGAGAGAGAGAAGGUCACACAGAGCGCGUGGAAAUCAUGGCAACUCCAGGGUCCUGGGGGGGCUGUCCCCGGGUUUGCCCCGGCCACCGCGUGCAGACUCCACAGGCCCUGAGUGGGGCAGCUGCAGCCCCAGGCAACUCCAGAGAGUGUGCUGGUCACACAGCCACCUUCCGUCGUAUGCCUGGGUCUCGGUGUUGGAGACACACAGCCUCCUAAGGUGGAGCAAUAGGGCAAAGUCUUUGGAGACUCACCCAGGGGCCUUGGCAGCCCCAACCAAAGGUCAAGGGUGACCUCAACACUGAUUCCACGGCUUGUCUUGUCCUUGGAACCUCAAAUCCCAGUUCUGGAAGGCACUUCAGAAGGUGCCAGGCAGCCCUGCCUCUGAGACCAAAGUGGACACACUUUUAUCUCUUCCUUCUCCCAAGGUCUCCCAUGAGGGAGAUGCCACAGAUUCUCUUAGGAACAUUUUCUCCACCGUGCAAUGCCCGACUGGGUCUUGACACCCUGCACGUGGCCCAGCAGCUCUCUGCCCAUCUCAGAUGACCAGGAGCCCAGGGUAAGGACCAGCACCUGGGAUUGAGCCCCGUGAGGGCUGCCAAGGACCCUCCCCCUUGGAGCACUGAGGCUUCCAUCUCCAAAGCCAAUGCCAACGUCUGCCUCCAUCACCUCCACCCCUGACAUCCUCAACUGCCUCCUGGACCUUGCAGUUGUCCAUAAGAGUCCCCAUGUCCCCUCUUGUCCCUCCAUCCUUCAGACCAUUCUCCACCUGACAGCCAGAGAACUAUUCCCUAAACGUAACUCAGAUCCCAUCGCCUCAUCCUCAAGGUCCUCCCGGAGCUUCCUGCUGGACUGGGAAUUCGGGCCCCUCCUGCUCUCCAGCUCCGUCUGCCUGGCUCGGCCCCCAGGACUCCGUCCAGGCCCCUGGGUCCCUUCCUAUGGCACACAGAUCCGCAGCUCCUCCUGCCUCGGGUCCUCGCCCACAGUAUUGCCUCCGCCAGGGUCCCCGGCCCCUCCUUCCCUGCUGGUCCCUGCUCAGUGUUCAGGGCUUGGCACCUUAAACACCAUGCAAUCUAAAAGGAGCCUCCUCUUCUUGUCUGAUUUCCCUUCCUUUGCCUUCACGGCACUUGCCAGAACCAAAACUUAGAAGCUAGUCCGUGUGUUGCUUUGAGUUCCUCUUCCCACCAGAGUGGGCCAUGACAACGGGGAUUUGUCUUGUCCUUCUCUGUAUCUCCAGCACCCAGCACCAUGCCCAGCACAUCCGAGGUGCUCAAUAUUUGUAACCCCUGGUAGAGACUGCUCAUCGAGAAGACUAACAUUAAACCCAGUCACGAUAAAAAUCUUACAAUCUGAGGAAGCAUUUAAGCUCAGCAAGAUCUGGACUCUCACCACGUCAGGCCGAGCCUCCAACAGGCCAGGAUUCAUGAUGCUGGGAAGAGGAACAAGGAAAAUGGAGAUACUCGGACUCUACCUCCAACACUGCUGCUCCUAGGGCAGCGUCUCCCCCUGCUAAAGACAGGGCAGGGGGUGCAGUGGAUUGGCCCUGAUGGAGUCAAGGGACUUUCCUCCUGCCUGCUCAGCAACCCUGGGCAGCCACUCCCCUCUCUGGACCUCACUGCCAGGGAUGAGGUAAACAUGUGGGGUCAGAGCUGUGCCAUCCAUGUGGAAGUGUCUCACUUCAAAAUGUGGCUAUUGGGAUGGAACGAAAUUUGGAACCUUAUUUGCUUUUAAUUAAUUUAAAUUUAAAAUCAGAGACACAGGCCAGUCAUUGGAGUGUUGGAUUUUGUUUUCUGUGGUGCUGGGCUGGCACCUGGGCCUCACCCAGGCUAGACAAGUGCCCUGCCACUGGGCUGCGUCCACAGCCUUCACACUGUGGGCCUAUUGUUUUCCAUUGUGAAGUUUAUAAAACCGAACCUAGAUCAAGAGUGCCUAGGAAAAUCCAGCACUAGGACUGAAAUGCGCUCUAGAACAAAGUACAGAUGGUGAAGACAAUAUGAAAAAGAAUGUGAUACUUUCUAUAUCAGUACUUUUUAUACUGGUUGCAUGUGGAGGUAACAAUUUCCAUCUAAUGGAUUAAAUAAGUUAUAUUAUUACAA